AGAGUUUGAUCCUGGCUCAGAAUGAACGUUGGCGGCGUGGAUUAGGCAUGCAAGUCGAACGGGUUUGGUAGCAAUACCAGACCAGUGGCGUAAGGGUGAGUAAGGCGACGGCAACCAACCCCAUGGUUGGGCAUAGCCGCGGGAAACUGCGGGUAAUUCCCAGCGAUGUUCGUACCGGGCAUCCGGUGUGAACCAAAGUUACAACGCCGUGGGACGGGCCGUCGUGGUAUUAGGUAGUUGGCGGGGUAAUGGCCCACCAAGCCUCUGAUGCCUACCGGGCGUGCGAGCGUGGCCCGGCACACUGGGACUGAGACACUGCCCAGACUCCUACGGGAGGCUGCAGUCGAGAAUCUUCGGCAAUGGGCGCAAGCCUGACCGAGCGACGCCGCGUGGAGGAUGAAGGCCUUCGGGUUGUAAACUCCUGUCGAGGGGGAGGAAGGGGUAACCUUGACCUAUCCCUGGAGGAAGCACGGGCUAAGUUCGUGCCAGCAGCCGCGGUAAGACGAACCGUGCGAACGUUAUUCGGAAUCACUGGGCUUAAAGCGCGUGUAGGCGGAUGGGGACGUCGGUUGCUGAAAUCCCCCGGCUCAACCGGGGAACGGGCGCCGAAACGCCCCGUCUGGAGGGACGUAGGGGGACCUGGAACUUCCGGUGGAGCGGUGAAAUGCGUUGAGAUCGGAAGGAACGCCCGUGGCGAAAGCGAGGUCCUGGACGUUUUCUGACGCUGAGACGCGAAAGCUAGGGUAGCGAACGGGAUUAGAUACCCCCGUAGUCC
rnacentral:rRNA from 1 species